rnacentral:lncRNA from 1 species
AUGACCCCAGGGCCUCACCACACCACAUGUCCAGCCCACUCCAAAGACCACAGCUGGAGUCAGCACUGUAAAGACAGCGUCCCGCCUUGGGAGGAAGGUGCUGGAGUGGCGAGGAAGAAGGAAGGCUCCCAGGCCAUCCUGUCUGGUGAUGAAGCAGGAGCACUCGAGAACCCACCAGUGACCAGGACCAACUCUGCUGAUGUGACACUCCAGAAAAUUCCAGAAAUCACCACCCCCGAUGGCAGGCAGCUCUGCGGACAUGCUCUGUCCCUCCACACUGGCCCAUGGCCUCUCCCCAUGGCCAGGAAGGCCUCCUGGUCAGCGUGUGGAGAACAGAACAAAGAUAGUCCCCGGGCUUCGCAGGAGACAACUAGGGCUAUUCCCAGGGAACCUUCCAUCAGACAGGGGCCGGUGGCUUCACCAGGCUGUCCAUGUGAGGUGGGGACCCCGCCUGGACAAAGGGCACGAGGCAAGCUCAGCCGAGGAACCCACUGGCUGCUUCCUGAAUGGGGUGGGGUCAGCUCUAAUGAGGUCAGCCAGCAGCACGGUCUGUGGACAUGGGGGUCACAGACACAAAAUCCCCCACAGGGCCACGGGGACAGCAGUCUCUGGGUGGCACGAGCAGGCAUUAUAUUUGUAACGUCUUUUUUUUUGUCUUUUCACAAUGCGCACUUCCUGCCUCUUCCUUAUGAAGUUGUUUCCUACAAAAGUAAUUUGAGAGGGAGACUGGUCCCUAACUUUCAAGUCUCUGCCAAAGGUGCCGCUGUGAGGAGGCGCAGUGAGGGGCGACACAGGACUCGGGACGUUCACCCAUGGCCAGCUCAGCUCCCAUGGAGCCAGGAGCUCAAACAGGACAGGCUGAAAGGGCUCCGUCCACAGCCGGGCCCCUCCCACUCGCCCCCCAUUCUGCAGCAGCUCCAGCGCCGUGCGGAUCCGCUUCCUCCCACCGCUGAGCACACCACAUGGCGACACCGCCCCGCUGCCUCCAGGAACUUCCCAACCCCACGCAUGAAGAUGUCCGCUGCAGCAAGGAUGGCCCCUAGGACAUGGGGACCUCACUGCAGCCAAGCUGGGACUCUCCUCUGCCCACGAUGGCGCCCAGACACAGUGUCUGCACGAGCUGAGUGA